AAGAUUGCACAGAUGCCACAACAAACUUCACCAGAAAAUGGGUAACCCCGACCCCGACCCCGAGUCUUUCGGUCUUGCCCACGCUAGGGUCUAUAAAACCAGACGCCGAGCAACCCCCCAUCAUCCCCUAGAGCCGAGAGCAAACCCACCCGGCGCCAUAGUAGAAACAGAGAAAGAGCAUAGAGAAGCAGUCGCUAUGAUAGAUUCACGUAUGGCAGCGUCAGGCCCUCGGUGUGCGCGCAGAAUCGUUCCACGGAGGGCACCGAAGUGGGGAGCAGCGUGCGUUAAGGCGAAUGGUGGUCGGGCAUAGAGGAAUUCGUCGCCGGAGCAUGCCUUCCAGUGCCGAACCGCAGAACACGUGGGUGGGGUGCCUCGUCGUCCCAACUCCAGGUAAGAGAGCCCUAGAACUACUCGCCUUAGUCUCAGCAAUGUGUAGCUAAGUUUCAAUUUGAAGGGGAUUCAUUGAGGGAGCUCAUAGUCCGGUCUCGGCCAUGGCGCCUCCAUGGUGGCCUCGGUCCGAAGGCAUUGAGGGGAAUAAGGGAGAGAGAGUAGGAGUCGUCGAUCUCGAUCUGAUCGGUCUUGAUUAGAUAAUUAGGACCGCUUCGAAGGGAUCAAAUAUAGAUCUCAGAUCGUACGGAUUGGAGUGGAUCUUGGUGUUUAAAAUCUAGCCUGUCGAUCUUUGAUCCUGCAGAUAGCGUUGCGUGCUGGUCCAACCUUAGGUUCGAUCUAAUCUGAGCGGUUGGUCGUUGAUCGGAUGGCUCAGCCCGUCUGAUACCCUUUUGACCUCGUAACAAAAAAGCCCUCAACUUUUGGUUAAACAAACCCGCCGUCCUCAGCCAUUGGGGAUUCUUACAUCUAGGUCCCUGAAACUUGUAAAACAUCCCCUGGGUUUAUAAAGGAAUUGUAGAAACUGAUUUAUAGUAUAAAAAUAAUUGUAGAAGGUUAGAAAAAUCAUAUCUUCCGCGUUUUUACUCUGAUUUGACAUGUUCAAGUUGCGUUAGAUUUGUAAUGGGAUUGCCUAGAACAAAGAGGGGGAAUGACAAUGUUUUUAUCGUUGUCGAUCGUUUUUCAAAGAUGGCACAUUUAUACCCUGUCACAAAACUGAUAAUGUUUCACAUGUUGUUGAUUUGUUCUUCACUGAGAUUGUGUGUUUGCAUGGUGUGCCAAAUACUAUUGUUUCUGAUAGGGAUGCUAAGUUUUUAAGUCAUUUUUGGAGAACCUUGUGGUUUAAAUUGGGAACAAAGUUGCUGUUUUCUACUACUUGUCAUCCCCAAACUGAUGGGCAAACAGAGGUUGUCAAUCGCACUUUAUUUACCAUGUUGCGGGCUGUUUUGAAGGAUAAUUUGAGGUUGUGGGAGGAAUGUUUGCCACAUAUUGAGUUUGCUUAUAACAGAUCAAUACAUUCUACAACCAAGCUUAGUUCAUUUAUGGUAGUAUAUGGUUUUAAUCCUCGUGCUCCAAUUGAUUUGCUACCUUUACCAACUUCUGAAAUAGUGAACUUGGAUGCUACACAACGUUCUGAAUUCAUUCUUAAGUUACAUGAAACAACUAAGUUGCAAAUUGAAAAGAUGAAUGAAAAGUAUCGUAUUGCUGCUAAUAAAGGCAGGAAGGAAAUGAAAUUGGAACCUGGUGACUUGGUGUGGGUUCAUUUGAGAAAGGAUAGGUUUUCUGAUUUGAGAAAGUCUAAACUUAUGCCACGAGCUGCUGGUCCUUAUAAAGUUCUUGCAAAAAUUAAUGAUAAUGCAUAUACACUUGAGUUGCCUCCAGAUUUUGGGGUUAGUCCCACCUUUAACAUUUCAGAUUUGAAGCCAUAUAUGGGUGACGAAGAUGAGAUCGAGUCGAGGACGAAUCCAAUUCAAGAGAGGGAGGAUGACGAGGACAUCACUUCUAUACAUACAAUGAAUGGACCGAUAACACGAUCGCGUGCAUGACAGCUAAAUCUCCAGGUACGUUCUACCCUAGUCAAUUGUGUUUCAGAGCUUACGCUUGGGGCCAUGGAUGUUUUGAUGAUUAGGAACCUUGGAGAGAACCAGCAAGGACUUGGGAAAGGCCAAGGUGUUGAGUAGGAGGAGCAAGGGCGCCCACAACAGGAAGGAGAUCAAGUCCGACUCGGCAGCGACUCCAUCUCGGGGUUCAGGACCAGUCUGCACUAAAAUGAACGCCCAAGAUGCAUCUGGACUCCGAUUGCGACGGAAUUUAUAUGGUUGGAACGAUAAAAAGAUUAUCUAACCAACCCAACUGGUUCCACCUUAAAAUUCAUCCGGAGUCAACGGGAAUCGUCGAAAAAAAUUCAGCGUUCAGAUUCUGUUUUAAUGCUGCGACACCGUCUGUUGGGCCAUUGGGCCGUGUAUCGCGUCGGAGCCCAUUAGGAGUGAGUCUAGGGGUCACGCACGCCCUAAUACUCUAUUUAUUCAGCAGCCGCCGCCACAUUAGGUUUGGGUUUUGCUUAGAUCAAUUCUGUCAUCGAAUAGUGUUGUCGUCAUCGGUUUGUGAGACCCCAUCCCAUAAUCAAUACAAUUUUGGUUGCGUUUCUUUCCUGUUCUUGCUUGUGUUCUUGAUUGCGCUUGCAGGGAUAAGCCUUCGUGGUGAGGUCACUCGUGUGUCACGGGUGAUAACCAACGGAGCCAUGGUGUAGUGAUUGCGAGGAACCGUUUGCUCAGAGCCUUGGAUCAUCAAUGUCGAGAUCUCCACUCAAUCAAGUUAUCGUAUCUCACGGAAGAUCGGGUCGCGUCUUCUAUCAAGGGGGAUGAGGCUUAUAUUACUCGCAGCGAGGUGCCUGUAGUAGGGGUUUACAAGCACAACGGGAGAGGGGAAGUCCCCAAGUCCCUAGAGAUGAUUGAGGCAAGUGCCAAUAUCUAAGACAAAGUGGAGGAGUCAACGUUCGUCUGCGUCUCCUCUUUUGCCCUGGAGGGACCACUGCCCUAUUUAUACACUAGGGAGAGCAUCCGCAGUGAAGCUCAGUGUUGUAUCCGACGAAGAGAUGCCCUGGUGUCUGCAGGCCCACGUGAUGGUGAACUGUGUUGUUGACUUGUGCUUGCUGAUUUCCCGUAGAGAGUCGAGGCAGAGACCGAGGGGUUGUCCGUACGCCCGAGCCCCCGAGGGAGAGGCUGCCCAUGUCAUAGUUGUUGUAAUUGUGUCGGAGUAUAGGCCAAUUGCUGCUUACAGGGUGUGUCAGCGUCCUGGCACAGGAUGACGUCGAGAUUCCCUGUUGUGCUUAUCGAGAUCAGAGCCCCUGCUCUAUCGAGGCAGAAGUCUUUCUGAGGUGUUAGUCGAACCAUCCCUUGACGUGCGCCAUAGUUAGGCGGAGUGGCCGUCUGCGGGAUUCACGGUGCAGUAGGUGGUCGAGGCUGAGUUCGGGCGAGGCGGAAAUUUUGCCCAAGGGUCAAACUUGACGUCAGGCGAGGCGGAGAGAUUGUGCCCGUGGGCUGAAUCCUGCUUCGGGCGAGGCAGAGAGAUUGCGCCCAAAGGGCAGUCUGCUCGACUUGUUGUAUUAGGCGUUCCAUCGGAGGGUGCAGGUGAUGUGCGCACACUGUAGUGUAGACGUAAUCAUGUUGUGUCAGACGUGAUAGUCGUCUUGUCAGCCAUUGUGCCCUCCUGCCUCAGCGUGGGUUGCCACACGCAUUAAAUGUGCAUGUUCCCUGCCUGUUUUUGAGUGCCCCUGUCCUAUCUGCCUGAGGUUGGAUCGGGCGAGAUGGAUUGAGCGGCGGUGACCUCGGGCGAGGCGGAGUCUUGCCUGAGGCGGGAGAAUCUCGGGGGGGGGGUCUCGGUUUUUAUAGGUAGCUCGGCUGUUACCCCUCGGGAGUUUCAUCCUUAUCUCUCUAAGUGCGUUUGUUAGGGGGAUAAUUCGGGUAUCCCUAAUUAUGACCCCCGACAGAAGCCCCCGAGCCUUCGAAGAAAGUACUUUUGGUACUUGUUUGGAGGCUCUGCUGCUCGCCCGCGAGUGUGCUACUUUUUGAGAGGUAAGACAUUUUUUGUUUUCCGAGGGGUGCGUGCGAGCGCACCCGUCGGGUGUAGCCCCCGAGGCCCCGAAGGAGUGGUUAACUCCUUUGGGGGCUUUUGUUCUUCGAUAGGUCCCAUUUGAUCUCUGUCAUUUUGUAGGAACCUUUUGCGUGAUUUUAGAGGGCAGCCCCUGAGCCUUUGCAUGGAGCAUGAGGUCGACCGAGGGAUGUCUCGACUUUUGGUUUAUGUUGGGGACUUGUUCUCAAAUGCUAUGAAUCAAGAACAAGGCAACAUAAAAUGUUAAAUAUCAAAGCCCUUCGUCCUUUGAAUCAUUAUUUCCCUUCGGAUAUAAUGAACCUAGGACGAAGGUCAUGAAGGACAUACCUUCAUGAUCAUGAUAAAGAAAUGGACAAUAUUCAUGCAAAGUAUAAGGAGUAACAUAAUUUAUAUGAACAUGAUUAUCAACCUAUUUUUAUUUAUAUCACUUGUGUAAACAAUAAUAAAUUGCAAGUGUACCUUCGGCUUGAAGGAGUAAGAAUACAGGUGUGACGCAAAAGUAGAUGACAAGUCAGCGUGCCCAGUACGGGAAUACUAUUCACCUAUUUAUAGGCACGGGUCGCAGCCCAUGCAAAAUUACAUUAAUGCCCUUUACAUUCAUCAAUAACUCUAUAGUAAUUCUUCAAGGUCUGAUUCGGCUUUUCAUCUUUAAGUCGGUUUCCUCUUCCUGCCGUUAUACCGAAGCUCUUCUGCACACAGCUUCGUGAUUGUCUUAUCCUUCGUCGUGAUCGCCGUCCCAGUCAAGCUUCGUCUUAACCAUGUUCUUGUAUACUCGCAAUCUGUCUUCGAAGGUACCUGUUCACAUAUUUCUCUUGGAAGACAUAGUCAAAUUACGUUUUUGAGGACCUUCGGAAGCCGAAGGCCCCCAACAGUAGCCCCUCGCAAUAUUAAUUUGCUGGAAUAACAAAUUUAUAUUGCGACAUGGACGAAGACUUCGAGCCGAAGGUCCGAAAAAACACCUUCCCUUUGCUAGAAUAGCAACAGUCAAUGGCAAAUGGGGCCUUCCAGCCUCCGACAUAAUGGGUUUAUAAAUACGGGCUCGCCACAAUUUAUUCGGCACGCUCCCUUGCCAUCUGUUUUGCCUGCUCAAUUAGUUUUCUGCCCACAAAUAUUUUGUUGCCUUCCUAGUUUUAAGCUUCGGAAGCGAAAGGCAAGAAUUCCGAAGAGAUGUCUGAGGAGAAGAAGGUUGCUGCCGAAAUGAAGUUGAGUCUUUCUGAAGAGAUGCAUCUGGGUUUUCUUCGAUCUAUGUCGAAGACCAAUACAGAAAAGAUCACUAAAGAAAUUUUGGAAGGUUUAUCUGAAGACACUGGUGAUAGCGACAGUUAUGAUGCGGAUAGUGGUGGUGAAGACUCCGAAGAUCGCCCUUGGCGGCCAAGCCAUGCGGUUUUCGGCAAAUCAAGUAUUAAAGAAAAUCAUCUUGUCAACAUGAGGGGAAGAUAUUUCCGGGAUUUGUCUGUUGUAAGGGCCGACGAAGGAGAGAAGACUUGCCCAACUCCCGAGGAAGAUGAAGUCGUAAUAUUUCGAAGCUUCUUGAAAGCUGGACUACGAUUUCCCCUGAGCCACUUUGUUGUGGAGGUGCUGAAGAUAUUUGAAAUCCACCUUCACCAGCUUAUCCCCGAAGCGAUCAUAAGGAUGAAUAUUUUUGUGUGGGCUGUGAGGAGCCAAGGCUUGGAACCUGAUGCUAAAAGCUUCUGCAACAUGCACGAAUUGUUAUACGAGACAAAACCCUGGGGUAAGGAACAAUAUCACAACAACUUUGGCUGCUACAGCUUCGGCUCUCGGUCUGGGUCAAGCUGCCCAGUGCCGACCUUUCGAAAGAGAUGGCCUGGCGACUGGACGACGGAAUGGUUUUACGUAAAAAAUGACUUGAAAUCUCGAGAGGAUAUAAAGAAGAUCAUUAUGUAUCCCAUCUGGCAACGCUUCGGCCUGCGAAGGCCGAAGGUGGAAAUGAAUGAAGCAGCCGAAGAAUGCCAGAGAGCCUUCGGAGUUGUCUGCUCUUUUAUUGGGACGAGGGAUUUAACACAAGAACAUAUUGCCUUCAGAGUGUGGCCUCUUGCGGAUAAUUGGGAAAUGCCGAAAGAAACUAUUAAAGAAACUGACGAAGGUGGGCUAGUCCGGCUGAAGUACACAUUCAAGUAUGGAGACAAAUUUGUUGAACCAGAUGAUGAUUGGUUAAAGAGCAUUGAGACUGUAAGUGAUGAAUUGCUUGGGGCAUAUUCGAAGGCCGAAGAUACUGCUUUGUCAGCGGCCUUCGGAGGCCGAAAGAGGAAAAGACUCAACCGGGUAUUUGAUGCAAUCGGGUUCGUCUACCCCGACUAUCGUUAUCCCAUUCGAGGGCAGAAAAGAAAAGGCACAACUUCUGCGAAGGAAGAAGCUGCAGCUGCUCCUAGUGAGCCAGCACCGAAAAGAAAAAGGAUAAAGGUUCUCACACAUCGGCCACGCUAUAUUGAACCAGCCUCGGUGCCUGAGUUCACCGGAGAGACCUCUUCGGCCACCGAGGCUGAAGAGCCAACCCUGCUGCCAGAAGUCGCAGAAAUGGCCGAAGCGCCAACAACAAAAGAAUUGGAGGAACCAAAGGUUUUAUUACCAGAAACCAAAGAGAUGGCCGAAGCGCCAUCGACAGAAAAGAUGGAAGAAGCAAAAGGAUCAACUGAAGGAGCAAAAAUAUCAGAAAUUUGAAGUCCUUCAGUAGAAAUUGAAGUAGCAAGAAUUAAAAAGGGGCCAACAGUGACCCCAAAAAGAAAAAGAAUGGUCAAUGUGUUGGAUGUUUUGGAAACAAUUAAACUUCCAAGCACAACUCCCAAGAAGACUGCUGAAAUUUCUGAGGCACCUGCGGAAGUAUCCGUUGCUAAGGCUCCGAAGCAACAGACCGUAGUUGAAACUGAGCCCUCAGAACCAACCAAGGUAAAACCUUUGGAAGCAGAAGAAGCAAGAAUUGAAAAGACAACUGAAGAAAUAAAAAUGUCAGAGCCUAUUUUGGUCGAAGAAAUUGAUACCGCUGUCCCCGAAGCAUCUUCCAAAAUGUACGAUUAUAUUAUGCGUCAUGCUUCAGGGAAAAAGUUAUCAGAAGAAGAAGUUUUUGAAGCCAAUCACUAUGCCAAAGAAUUGAAAUAUCCGAAGGGGGCAUUAGUAUUCAAUGGGACGAAUGAAGAGGAUUUCCUAUAUUGCCUCCCAGACAAUAAAGAAUUAUCCGUCUGCCGGGAGAUGUCUAGAAGCAUGGGGUUUCCGAAGCUCGAAGCUGGAUUAAGUGCCAUGACGAAGGAGGAUCUCGCGGACAGUCUUGCGUACAAUAGCCUGAAGGUAUGGGGAUUGUUCGUUUGAAAAUUUUACAAUUCGUAACUCAUUCUUUUAUUCUUAUACGAACUCUUUUACAUAUAGGGCUUAAUUUUAAGCAACGCAUUGAGAGCACAAAAGAGUGCCGAAGACGAGAGCUAUGAAAUUGCAUUCAACAACCUACGAUCCGAAGUUAUUAAAUUGAGAAAUGAAGCUAUGGAAAAGGAUAAAAUUCUGCUAACAUUGGUAGAUAAGGUAAAAAAGGACGAAGCUGCCUCAAAGGCCCAGGCCAAAGCUCAAAGACAUGAAAUUAAAGAUCUUCAGAAACAGCUAGCUAGAGCUAAAGAAGAGCGUAUACUUGAAGAAACAAAACGAGAGCUUAGUGAUCAACUGGCCAAUCAUUUAGAAUUAAGUGUCAAAGAGCUUCGUGCCUCCCAGAGGAAAUGCUAUGUUAAGUCCAUAGAGUGCGUCAAAAAGAUAAAAUCUAGCUUCGCCAGCGUUGGCGCGUUUUCUAGUGAAGAGAACUUUUCAAGAGGCAAUCCUGAAGGUCCAAUGGAAUGGAUUAGUCACGAAGCAGAAGCCUUCGAGGAAAUUCUGAAUAGCCGCGGCGACAUCUGCGCUUUUUCGGGUGCUAGAGGGAUUGCUGCUGUCUUGGAGAAGAAAGGCAGCGAGCACGUAAAAUCCUUAGCGCAGACCGAAGCUACCUUGUCCACUGAUGACAUAAAAGACCCCUCGCCCGAAGCAAGCGUGAUCGGUGGGAAAUUCUUCACCGAUAUCUGGGAUAACGGCGGCCGAGAAUUGGCGCAAGAAAUUAUCCAAAAGAGUGAAAAAGGCAUCCAUGAUGCUAGAAAAGUAGAGGAAGCUGCCAAGAGGAGUACAGAGCCCGAAGGGCAAAUAGGUAUUAAUUAGUGGUUUUUAUCAUGCUGUAAUUUUUAACUCCAAACUCUGUUCUCGGUUUGUAAUAGUAAUAUAGCCGUAUCUUUUCUCCCCUCAGAACCUGCUGAGGCAUCUCCGGGCCCCCACCUGAAGGGGGACGAUGAAAUUAGAGAAAUGGCCGAAGCUAUUAUGGAUAAGGUUGUCAACCAACUUUUGAACGAAGCUGCAGAAAUAGUGCUUAAAGAGGAUUGAAUGCCAUUGUAGAAAC
rnacentral:lncRNA from 1 species